rnacentral:tRNA from 1 species
UGCGGGGUAGAGCAGCCCGGUAGCUCGCAAGGCUCAUAACCUUGAGGUCGCUGGUUCAAAUCCAGCCCCCGCAACCG